rnacentral:siRNA from 1 species
GAGCGAAUCGCCCCAAGGAACGCC